rnacentral:rRNA from 1 species
UGCGAGUGAAGAGGGAAAAGCUCAAAUUUAAAAUCUGGCAGUGUUUCACUGUCCGAGUUGUAACCUAGAGAAGUGUAACCUGUGCUGGACCGUGUAUAAGUCUCCUGGAAUGGAGCAUCAUAGAGGGUGAGAAUCCCGUCUUUGACAUGGACUACCAGUGCAUUGUGGUUGCGCUCUCAACGAGUCGAGUUGUUUGGGAAUGCAGCUCUAAAUGGGUGGUAAAUUCCAUCUAAAGCUAAAUAUUGGCGAGAGACCGAUAGCGAACAAGUACCGUGAGGGAAAGAUGAAAAGAACUUUGGAAAGAGAGUUAAACAGUAUGUGAAAUUGUUGAAAGGGAAACGUUUGAAGUCAGUCGCGUUGGUUGGGGAUCAGCCUGACAUUGUUGGGUGUACUUCCUGGUUGACGGGCCAACAUCAGUUUUGACUGCCAGAAAAAGGCCAAAGGAAUGUGGCACCUUUGGGUGUGUUAUAGCCCUUGGUCGUAUAUGGUGGUUGGGACUGAGGAAAGCAGCGUGCCGAAAGGCCGGGUUUCGACCACGUUCACGCUGAGGAUGUUGGCAUAAUGGCUUUAAGCGACCCGUCUUGAAACACGGACCAAGGAGUCUAACAUGCGUGCGAGUGUUUGGGUGGAAAACCCUUACGCGUAAUGAAAGUGAAAGUUGAGAUCCCUGUCGCGGGGAGCAUCGACGCCCGGACCAGAACUUUUGGGACGGAUCUGCGGUAGAGCAUGUAUGUUGGGACCCGAAAGAUGGUGAACUAUGCCUGAAUAGGGUGAAGCCAGAGGAAACUCUGGUGGAGGCUCGUAGCGAUUCUGACGUGCAAAUCGAUCGUCAAAUUUGGGUAUAGGGGCGAAAACAAU